UUUUGCUAAAUCAAAGGCAAGGCGCAA
rnacentral:sRNA from 1 species